UCUCUUCGGUUUUUGCGAUUCGUAGACAUGAUUAAAACUACUUUUACGGCUCAUUCUAGGGUUUUUUAUUGUUAUUUUGUUAUUUCCGACGUUUCGAAUGCUUUAUGAAUUUCAUGGUCACGGGUGACGGACUUUUGUGCACAGUAAAUAAUGUAUGUAUAAUGAGUUAUCGAUAUAACUAUAUAUCGACAUUAAACUGGCGUUUAUAGAUGGCUACUAAUUUAAAUGUGAUCUUUAUGAAUAAAACAGUAUGAUAAAGAACGCUUAUCUGAGAUUUCAAUCAAAAUGAAUAAGGAAGUUAAUGUGAUUACAAGGAACAUUCAACUCAACGACAAAAAUAAUAGUUCUUUAAAUUAAUUAUUUUAAAAUUUAUCAAGAUAGUUCAACAAUAUAUUAUUACAAUUCAAUGAAUAAAUCUAAACAAAAUCUGAUAAA